GGCCUUCUGACGGAAUUGGUAGACGUAGCGGAUUCAAAAUCCGCCGCCCCCUAAAGGCGUCCCGGUUCGAGUCCGGGGAAGGCCA
rnacentral:tRNA from 2 species